rnacentral:rRNA from 1 species
UACAGAGGUCCCAAGCGUUGUUCGGAUUCACUGGGCGUAAAGGGUGCGCAGGCGGCCAGGUGUGUCAGGUGUGAAAGCCCGGAGCUUAACUCCGGAAUUGCGCCUGAAACUACUUGGCUAGAGCAUUGGAGAGGGUAGCGGAAUUCACGGUGUAGCAGUGAAAUGCGUAGAUAUCGUGAGGAACACCAGAGGCGAAGGCGGCUACCUGGACAAUUGCUGACGCUCAGGCACGAAAGCGUGGGGAGCAAAAGGG